AUGAUCCAAUUUUAAUCUCAAAAACAAUAAAAUCCCUUCAAUUAUUUGUUUCUCAAAUCUCAAAGCAUACCAUCUUAGUUGCACGAAUCCCAAAGCCUCAUCCCAUCUCAGCCAUUCAUCUUGCUAUCACCCAACUCCACGCCUCUCAAACCCAUUGUUUUUCCCAUGCGUUGGAACAAAGAACAAAUCAUCUCCUCCACACAUCUAUGGAUAAAGAUCAAUCCCCUGCAUCUAAUAGAUUCAUCUUCAUCUCAAAUGAUCUCAUCUCUUCUCAGCCUGGAGCCAGCUCAUCCCACAUUUCCGGAUUUCCUUCUCAGCCGAAUGCAGCCAUCCCGCUCCACGUCCUCCUCCACGUUAAUUCUCACACGUCUAGCUUUGCGCGUCCAUAGAUAAAGAUCAAAGCCCCAGCUCAUCUCCUCCGUGUCCGUCCAAGCUCACCAUGUUCGUGAUCCUUCCGCAUCCAAAGCAUCUCCCAAGUAUUCUUCGACUUCAUCCUCCCAGUAUCCUUAUCUUCUCUCGCAUCCGUUUUCUUCCUCAACUUCCCUUCAUCCCGUUCGCGUUCGGAUAUGCAGGGAUUCAACCAUCCACAUGUGAAAUUCUCUCCCCUAUUUCACGUUCAUUCCGUUUGUAAUCACCCUUAUCCCGCGGCCAGCCGGAUUCCCACGCUUCCCAGGCAUCCGUUCCCAAGCCAUCAGCCGUAUCCACCAUUUUCAAGCCUCCUCUGCAUCCCACGAACCGAGCCAUAUCCAAGUUCAUCUCAACCGCAAGCUAUCCCAGCAUCAGCUCCGCAUUCAUCCUUAUCCUUCCCAGCCGAAUCAAGCAUCCUGUAAGCCAUAUCCUUCCUUUUGGAUUAACUCCCUUCUCCCACGGAUCACAUCUUCCCCAGCUUCUUCCGCUCACUCCCAGCAGAUCGUCAACGCCUCCAUCUCCCAAUUAGUUCGGAUUAGCUUUAAUCCAUCCAGAUUCUGAAAAGACUUCCUAGAUCUCCUCUUCAAAAUCAAGUCAGCCUUCCUCUCGAUCGCAUGCAGCUGCCCAUCCUCCACGUGCAUCCCAAGCUUCAUAUAUUCCCCUGUUUUGGAACCACCUCCAGCCAGAUCCAGCUACAGCCGCACUCAUUCCAGGAUACGAUCGAGAUCAGCCUUCAUCCACGGAUUGCAUUCCACCGUUCGCGAGAUCUUCGUUGUUACGCGUAUCUUCCAGCGUCCGGAUUAAAGCCGCAAGUGUUCACCGCAUCCAAGGAUCGAGAGUAGCUGCAUUCCAUCCUUAUCUUGUACUCGAAAUAGGGGAAGAGAGAGGGAGUUUGCAGGCUAUAAAAGAAGUCAAGAUGUGAAGGGGAGAGGGCAUUCCUCCUUCCCCACCGGGGGGGCAUUCCCUCUUCCCCCACCGGGGGCUGCUCCCAUCAUCUUCUCAGAGGCGGAAUCCCACAUAGUUCACCGGGAGAAGAAGAAGCUUGGGGGUUCUGAGGCUGAGUUCCCACCAAAGAAGUAAAGGGACAGAUAAUAGUUUGGGAUAUUCUGGGAAUUACUUCCCACAAAAAAAAAGAGAGAGAAAAGAAAUGAAAAGAUAAGAGGGGAGUCGCCGAAGGAAGAGAAGAAAGUGACGGGAGCCCGCUGUUGUGCUGCUGCUACCGUCCACCACUCCAUGGAAGGCUGAUCUCCUCUCUAGGGCUGGAUGCAGCCCUAAUAAAGGGACACGGGUUUUAUAUUUUAUUUUAUAUUCUUGAAGUUGUAUGAACUUAUUAUUUUUAAUGAAUAUCUUCUUUUAUUUCAUGUUUAAUUUCUGUGAUUUUAAAUGUGAAGUUUAUACAACUGUUCUUCAUGAUCACUAAGUAAAUAUAAGAUAGUCCAUGCUUAGGAAAGAUGCGAUGUGCUGCCACCUUAGAUUAGGGCAGACAUUUCAUGCUAACUGAAGAUGGAUUAUGCCUAAAUUACUUUUGUGAAAUUUUAUUCGAAUGCUUAAUGGCUUGUAGCCAAUUUGCAUGUUAAUCCAAGAAUGAAAUAAAUUAUAAAUAAUCCUUGUUCCGANNNNNNNNNNNNNNNNNNNNGAUCACUAAGUAAAUAUAAGAUAGUCCAUGCUUAGGAAAGAUGCGAUGUGCUGCCACCUUAGAUUAGGGCAGACAUUUCAU
rnacentral:lncRNA from 1 species